UACGAGGGGGGCGAGCGUUGUUCGGAAUUAUUGGGCGUAAAGGGUGCGUAGGCGGUUUGGUAAGUCUUGUGUGAAAUCUUCGGGCUCAACUCGAAGUCUGCAUGAGAAACUGCCGGGCUUGAGUGUGGGAGAGGUGAGUGGAAUUCCCGGUGUAGCGGUGAAAUGCGUAGAUAUCGGGAAGAACACCGAAGGCGAAAGCACUCUGCUGGGCCGAAACUGACACUGAUAGACGAAAGCUAGGGGAGCAAAUGGG
rnacentral:rRNA from 1 species